rnacentral:rRNA from 1 species
AGAGUUUGAUCAUGGCUCAGGACGAACGCUGGCGGCGUGCUUAACACAUGCAAGUCGAACGGAAAGGCCCUUUCGGGGUACUCGAGUGGCGAACGGGUGAGUAACACGUGGGUGAUCUGCCCUGCACUUUGGGAUAAGCCUGGGAAACUGGGUCUAAUACCGAAUAUGACCAUGCGCCUCCUGGUGUGUGGUGGAAAGCUUUUGCGGUGUGGGAUGGGCCCGCGGCCUAUCAGCUUGUUGGUGGGGUAAUGGCCUACCAAGGCGACGACGGGUAGCCGGCCUGAGAGGGUGACCGGCCACACUGGGACUGAGAUACGGCCCAGACUCCUACGGGAGGCAGCAGUGGGGAAUAUUGCACAAUGGGCGCAAGCCUGAUGCAGCGACGCCGCGUGAGGGAUGACGGCCUUCGGGUUGUAAACCUCUUUCAGCACAGACGAAGCGCAAGUGACGGUAUGUGCAGAAGAAGGACCGGCCAACUACGUGCCAGCAGCCGCGGUAAUACGUAGGGUCCGAGCGUUGUCCGGAAUUACUGGGCGUAAAGAGCUCGUAGGUGGUUUGUCGCGUUGUUCGUGAAAACUCACAGCUUAACUGUGGGCGUGCGGGCGAUACGGGCAGACUUGAGUACUGCAGGGGAGACUGGAAUUCCUGGUGUAGCGGUGGAAUGCGCAGAUAUCAGGAGGAACACCGGUGGCGAAGGCGGGUCUCUGGGCAGUAACUGACGCUGAGGAGCGAAAGCGUGGGGAGCGAACAGGAUUAGAUACCCUGGUAGUCC